rnacentral:tRNA from 1 species
GCGGCAGUAGUUUAAUGGCAGAACCCAAGACUGUGGAUCUUGUGGCAGGGGUUCGAUUCCCCUCUGCCGCC